rnacentral:rRNA from 1 species
GACGAACCGUCCGAACGUUAUUCGGAAUCACUGGGCUUAAAGGGUGCGUAGGCUGCGCUGUAAGUUGGGUGUGAAAGCCCUCGGCUUAACCGAGGAAUUGCGCCCAAAACUGCAGUGCUCGAGGGAGAUAGAGGUGAGCGGAACUUAGGGUGGAGCGGUGAAAUGCGUUGAUAUCCUAAGGAACACCUGGGGCGAAAGCGGCUCACUGGAUCUCAUCUGACGCUGAUGCACGAAAGCUAGGGUAG